AAUUUGAGGCAGAGCAAGUGAGGGAUAAUUUAUGGGUAAAGCUUCAACGGAUAUACUUGUCAAAAACAAUGAAGUUGUGCUGGUGUGGAUUGAGUCCAAUGAUUAGGUCAUCAAACAUAUGAGAAAGUCUAUGCUAAAGUCUAGUGGCUGAAAGUGGUUGUGCCAUCUCAUUGCUCAACAUUUCUAAAAGGGUUGACUUAAAGCUUCAAAUUCUAGCAAGACGUUUCAUUGGUAUUUUAAAAGUUUGUUCAAUUAACACUUGAAUAUGGAAUAAUUUCACAAAAUCAAGAAUUGUGAAAUUCUUCAAAGCACCUCGUGCCUUUUCUCACUUGAACUCAGCAACAUUUGCUUUCGAAGUUCUUAAUUCUGGUAGUAACCGUACUCGCUCAAAUUGCAGCCUCAGUUGUAAGCUUGCUGAUGGGGCCACGUCAGUCUGCACAAAUUGGAGAGUUACAUACUCAUGCUUGCAAGAUGGAAAUCAUAGUUUGGAAGUUUGCACCAAUGGAAAUUGUAGCUUUGUGGGCUGUGCUAGCUACAAUUGGACUGUUGACACAAUUCCACCAACAACAUAUGUUACAGCCUCAACAAUUUUCACAAGUUCUUCGAAUUUUCCGUAAAUUUAUCUUUCACCAAACCUUGUAUAGGCGAUGGUUUUGGAUGCAAGUCUGUGAAUGCCUGCAAUCUUCUUGUCUAUGGUGUUGGCCAGGUUGUACCAUCUUCC